UGGGGAAUUUUGCACAAUGGGGGAAACCCUGAUGCAGCGACGCCGCGUGAACGAAGAAGGUAUUCGUAUCGUAAAGUUCUUUCCUAGGGGAAGAAAAUGACAGUACCAUAGAAGAAAGCUCCGGCUAAAUACGUGCCAGCAGCCGCGGUAAUACGUAUGGAGCGAGCGUUGUCCGGAAUUAUUGGGCGUAAAGGGUACGCAGGCGGUUUAAUAAGUCGAAUGUUAAAGAUCGGGGCUCAACCCCGUAAAGCAUUGGAAACUGAUAAACUUGAGUAGGGGAGAGGAAAGUGGAAUUCCUAGUGUAGUGGUGAAAUACGUAGAUAUUAGGAGGAAUACCAGUAGCGAAGGCGACGUUCUGGACACAAACUGACGCUGAGGUACGAAAGCGUGGGGAGCAAACAGG
rnacentral:rRNA from 1 species